UGUAAGUACAGAAGUGCUCAGAGCCCAAGAAGAAUGGGAAACCGUGGACAGCAUCCAGCCAGAGACAGAGACCCUGGAAGCUGGAAGAGCCUGUCUCCAGAAACUCAGCAUGUGCUCACCACAGCUUCGGCCCCCUUUCCCUGGCCCAGAGACCAGCCAGUUGAAUUCAGCCAACCGUUCGAAGGACUGGGCUUGCCGCCCUCCGGCACCUUCUCUUCGGUCCUCCAAAGCUCCACCAGGGCCUCCAUGAGGAAAGGGACCUGGUCCUGACCAUCGCUCAGUGUG